UUCCUGAUGUUGUGUCGAAAUCUCCUUCCUUGUAACAUAUUGAUUCAAGUCCUAACCUUCAGUGCAGGAGAAAACAAUCCUGCUCCAUCUUCCACGUGACAACCCUUGAGAUAUUUGAAGAUGGCUAUCAUAUGUCCUCUCAGCCUCCUCUUUUCCAGGCUAAACAUGCCCAGCUCCCUCAACAGCAGGAGAGGGGUACUGCAUUCCUGUUCUGCUUUGGAGC